rnacentral:rRNA from 1 species
AUGGUACUACCUUGAGAGUGCUCAUCUGAUUCUCAUCUGAUUUUGGUAACUAAGCAAGAUUGGGCCUGGUUAGUACCAAGAUGGGAGACUGCUAGGAAUGCAGGUGCCAUG